CCGGCGAGGGGAGUGAAAAAGAACCUGAAACCGUGUACGUACAAGCAGUGGGAGCACGCUUAGGCGUGUGACUGCGUACCUUUUGUAUAAUGGGUCAGCGACUUAUAUUCUGUAGCAAGGUUAACCGAAUAGGGGAGCCGAAGGGAAACCGAGUCUUAACUGGGCGUUAAGUUGCAGGGUAUAGACCCGAAACCCGGUGAUCUAGCCAUGGGCAGGUUGAAGGUUGGGUAACACUAACUGGAGGACCGAACCGACUAAUGUUGAAAAAUUAGCGGAUGACUUGUGGCUGGGGGUGAAAGGCCAAUCAAACCGGGAGAUAGCUGGUUCUCCCCGAAAGCUAUUUAGGUAGCGCCUCGUGAACUCAUCUCCGGGGGUAGAGCACUGUUUCGGCAAGGGGGUCAUCCCGACUUACCAACCCGAUGCAAACUGCGAAUACCGGAGAAUGUUAUCACGGGAGACACACGGCGGGUGCUAACGUCCGUCGUGAAGAGGGAAACAACCCAGACCGCCAGCUAAGGUCCCAAAGUCAUGGUUAAGUGGGAAACGAUGUGGGAAGGCCCAGACAGCCAGGAUGUUGGCUUAGAAGCAGCCAUCAUUUAAAGAAAGCGUAAUAGCUCACUGGUCGAGUCGGCCUGCGCGGAAGAUGUAACGGGGCUAAACCAUGCACCGAAGCUGCGGCAGCGACGCUUAUGCGUUGUUGGGUAGGGGAGCGUUCUGUAAGCCUGUGAAGGUGUGCUGUGAGGCAUGCUGGAGGU
rnacentral:rRNA from 1 species